rnacentral:misc_RNA from 1 species
AGUAAACCAAUUUACAAUGCAUUUAAGGCUAUCCAAGAAUCUUCCCAAUGGCAGUCUCUAAGUAAUGCUCAGAAACGUAUAGUGGAAUCUCAAAUAAAGGAGGCAGUUCUUAAUGGUGUUGCUCUUGAAGAUGAUAAAAGGGUAGAAUUCAACAAAAUUGAACAGGAGCUGGAGAGGCUAUCGCAAAAGUUUGGGGAGAAUGUAUUGGAUGCCACAAAGAAAUUUGAAAAACUCAUUACAGACAAAAAAGAAAUUGAAGGGUUGCCUGCUACUGCACUUUCAUUGGCUGCACAAACAGCAAUUUCCAAGGGGCACAAAGAAGCAACUGCUGAGAAUGGACCAUGGAUAAUUACAUUGGAUGCCCCAAGUUUUAUGUCUGUCAUGCAACAUGCUCAUAACCGUGCUUUGCGUGAAGAAGUCUACCGUGCUUAUGUAACUCGUGCUUCAAGCGGUGAUCUGGAUAACACACCAAUUAUUGAUCAAAUAUUAAAGCUUAGACAGGAAAAGGCUAAGCUUCUCAAUUACAGCAACUAUGCUGAGGUAAGCAUGGCAACAAAAAUGGCGACUGUUCAAAAGGCAGAAGAGCUCUUAGAAAAGCUGCGCACAGCUUCCUGGGAUGCUGCAGUGCAAGAUAUGGAGGACCUUAAAAUUUUUGCCAAGAAUCAAGAUGCAAUAGAAGCAAAUGAUUUAAGUCACUGGGAUAUUAACUUUUGGGCUGAAAGGCUUCGUGAGUCAAGAUAUGAAAUCAAUGAGGAAGAACUACGGCCAUAUUUUUCAUUGCCAAAGGUUAUGGAUGGCCUUUU